rnacentral:rRNA from 1 species
ACAGAGGCCUCAAGCGUUAGGCGGAAUCACUGGGCUUAAAGCGUGUGUAGGCGGGUCGUUAAGUACCUUGUGAAAUCCCACGGCUCAACCGUGGAACGGCUGGGUAUACUGGCGAUCUUGGGCCAUCUAGGGGCAGCUGGAACAAGCGGUGGAGCGGUGAAAUGCGUAGAUAUCAAGAGGAACACCUGAGGUGAAGACGGGUUGCUGGGCCGCCACUGACGCUGAGUGCGCGAAAGCCAGGGGAGCAAACGGGA